UACGAAGGGGACUAGCGUUGUUCGGAUUUACGUGGCGUAAAGCGCGCGUAGGCGGAUCGCUAAGUCAGGGGUGAAAUCCCAGGGCUCAACCCUGGAACUGCCUUUGAUACUGACGAUCUGGAGAUCGGGAGAGGUUGGUGGAAUUCCGAGUGUAGAGGUGAAAUUCGUAGAUAUUCGGAAGAACACCCGUGGCUAAGGCGGCUCUCUAGUACGGUACUGACGCUGAGACGCGAAAGCGUGGGGAGCGAACAGG
rnacentral:rRNA from 1 species